rnacentral:rRNA from 1 species
UACAGGGGGUGCAAACGUUGCUCGGAAUUAUUGGGCGUAAAGCGCGCGUAGGCGGCUACCUAAGUCGGAUGUGAAAGCCCCUGGCUUAACCGGGGAAGUGCACCCGAAACUGGGUAGCUAGAGUGCAAAAGAGGGUCGCGGAAUUCCCAGUGUAGAGGUGAAAUUCGUAGAUAUUGGGAGGAACACCGGUGGCGAAGGCGGCGACCUGGGUUGACACUGACGCUGAGGCGCGAAAGCGUGGGGAGCAAACAGG